GCCCAAAUUUCGAAUGUUUCGAAUUUUAGUGAACAUAAACCCUAUUUCAUAUCCAUUUAGAAGCAUAGCGAACCAAAAUGGUGUUAGAUAUUCAGACAGUACAUCAUAUUUUAAAAAAUACAGCAGUUCAAAAUGUAAACAAACGCCGUUUGUUUACAUUACGGACUUGACUUCCACUUUAAGAAUAAUUUUAAAAUUGCAAAAUCGCCCCCCAAAUAUCACUAAAUUUAAUUACAAAAUUGAAUCAAUUUCCCAAACAUAUAUAUGCUACAAUCUUAGACAAAUAACAUGCGGACACUGAUUAAAAAUGGCUGAAAUUUAAAGGAAUCAAAUAAUUAUACGCAUAUUCGGCCGUAUUCCCCGCUCCCCGUCACUGAAUUAAUUAUACGCAUAUUCAGCCGUAUUCCCCGCUCCCCUGUUACAAUGUUGUUGCUACAGAUACCGUAAUAGUUGCAGCGCUGUGAAUACUCGUUACAAUUGUAACGCGUUACAGGCUACUCGUUACGUUUGCAGUAAUUUUGGCCUGUAAUUAAUUACAUUUUUGAAAAGGAACGAAUUAUUGUAAUUAAUUACAAAAUAA